GACGAACGCUGGCGGCGUGCUUAACACAUGCAAGUCGAACGGAAAGGCCCUGCUUUUGUGGGGUGCUCGAGUGGCGAACGGGUGAGUAACACGUGAGUAACCUGCCCUUGACUUUGGGAUAACUUCAGGAAACUGGGGCUAAUACCGGAUAGGAGCUCCUGCUGCAUGGUGGGGGUUGGAAAGUUUCGGCGGUUGGGGAUGGACGCGCGGCUUAUCAGCGUGUUGGUGGGGUAGUGGGUUACCACGGCUUUGACGGGUAGCCGGCCUGAGAGGGUGACCGGCGACAUUGGGCCUGAGAUACGGCCCAGACUCCUACGGUGGGCAGCAGUGGGGAAUAUUGCACAAUGGGCGGAAGCCUGAUGCAGCAACGCCGCGUGCGGGAUGACGGCCUUCGGGUUGUAAACCGCUUUCGCCUGUGACGAAGCGUGAGUGACGGUAAUGGGUAAAGAAGCACCGGCUAACUACGUG
rnacentral:rRNA from 1 species